CCACAUCAUUCCGACAUGGUUUAGUGAUAUUACACAAAACCGAUGUUAUUUCACAUUCCAUCUCAAUGCGAUAAUAAAUCUCGCAACACUGUCCGCAUGUUGUUGUUUGAUAGUCGAGAAACGACGGCGCCAUUUGUUUUUUGGAGCUGUUCGCGUUUAAAUCUGUGUUUAAGUGGUUUUAUCACAAAAAUUUGAUAAUAAAAUUGAAAAAAUAGUGUCUCAGGCCAUGACUACGUGUAUUAAUUGUGGACCAGGAAGAAGCUGCAUUCAUCCGGUGCUAGGCUGACCAUCUACGUUAGCACCAGCGGCAACAACACAGUUGGAAGGGAGCCGUGCCAGCAAUCCGGACAGAUUAACCACACAUGUGUCCCCGGAGUACAUAUUCAUUAUGAUGCCACCGCUUUCACAGCCCAUUCAGGAUCUUCCGCCAGUGCAAUAAGUCUGGCCAGGGGCAACUAUAUGCAGGUGACAUAAUCUACGAAUCGAUUGCGGAUUGCGUCGGAGAAUCUGUUCGACCUGUUUUGCACCGUCGGUGUGGUGAUCGCUUCCGAUCCGCGCUACAAGAUGGCUUUCUAGUGAAGCUGGCCUUGCAAUCGACGUAUAUUUUUUGGCGAGAAGCAGAAGGAUGUCGCAAUUUCAAGGAGCUGGAAAAUCACAGGCCGGAACGGAUGGUUCUACCCGGGGUAGGCGUUCCACAUAACGAUUUAGUGCGUUGCCUAUGUGCAACCUAAUGAACCUAAUUCCAGCGAUGAGGGUUAACGAGUUUGGAAUUCCUGAUCGAAUUGUACUGCCCGUUCCAUAGUCUGCUUUAAGGGAACAAUUAUAUUUUGUAUUUGUCCUUCAGGCAUAUAUCCAUCCAUUUGGAAAUAUGACCCAGGUGGCCGUCGAUCUGUCGUGUAAAAUCAUGUAAAUAAUAAAUAGUGAAAAAUAAAGAGAAUAUGAUAAAUCAACGCA
rnacentral:lncRNA from 1 species